GUAGUAAUUUUUACUGAUAUCAAGUAGAACACUGAUACUAAUACUAAUACUAAUACUACGGCUACUAGUACGCCCGAUGAAACAGACGAGGUGACUUUGAUACGCUAUUCACAACAAUCAGACUUUGAGCGAGAUAUAAUCAAAGGUUCUAUGCGGGCUCAAAGUAAAAUAGUUAUUUAAAAAUUGUUUCAAACAAAUGCACAUUCCCCUCUUUUUUUGGACAGAAUCAAAAAAUUGCAUCUUUUUUCUUUUGAUAUCUCCGGGUUGAUUAAACUAAUUUUUAGAAAUUGGUUGGGGAAAGGAAAAGCAUUCAAAAUUGUAGAGUAUACAGAAGAGCAAGCAAAAAUAGAAUAAAAAAAAAGAGAAGAACAAAAUAAAAGAGCAAGCGCGAAUAGAGAUAGCAAAGUUCUGGGAUACCGUUCUUCCAUUUUCGCAAGGAAUAAGAGGUUGCAUGUUACUAACUCGCUCUAUUUUUAAAAAAUAUAUUCUAUUCACUUCAUUGAUAAUUGCGAAAAAAUAUUAGACGUAUAUUCCUAUUUCAACGUCCUGAGUGGUCUCAGAAUUUCCAAGAAUUGAAUAGAGUAAUGCAUGUUAAAUGUACCUAUAAUGGUGUUCCAUUAUCCGAAACAGAAUUUUCAAGAAAUUGGUUGACAGACGGUAUUCAGAUAAAAAUCUUAUUUCCUUUCUGUUUGAAACCUUGGCACAAAUCGAAACAACAAUCCUCUCAAAAAGAUCUAAUGAAAAAAGAAAAAGAUAAUUUUUGUUUUUUAACAAUUUGGAGAAUGCAAGCUCAAGUUCGUUUUGGAUCGCCCCGACAACGACCUUCCUUUUUUAACCCAUCUUUAAGGAACUCAAAAAAAAAAUUGAAAAAUUAAAAAAUAAGUAUUUUCGAGCUCUAAUAGUUCUCAGAGAAAAAACAAAACAAUAGGUUAUGAAAAGUGUUAUUUUUAUAAAAAACAUAAUAAAAUAACUUUCAAAAGUAAAUCCAAUUUUAUUAUUUCGAUUAAGCGAAGUAGAAGUAUAUGAAUCGAGUGAAAUUAAAGAAGAAAAAGAUUCCAUAAUCAGCAAUCAGAUGAUCCACGAAUCAUUUAAUCAAAUUGCAUAUCCGAGUAAUGCUAAAAGAUUCAAAAAAAUGGCAAAAUAUU